GCCGGCAGCUAGCUCUCUGAAACUCUCACAUGGUGGCCCACUGAAGCUAAGCAGGGCUGCACCCGGUCAGUACCUGGAUGGGGGACUGCGUGGGAAAGCUAGGUUGCUGCCGGAA
rnacentral:rRNA from 1 species